AUUGAACGCUGGCGGCAGGCCUAACACAUGCAAGUCGAGCGGAUGAAGAGGGCUUGCUCUCUGAUUCAGCGGCGGACGGGUGAGUAAUGCCUAGGAAUCUGCCUGGUAGUGGGGGACAACGUUUCGAAAGGAACGCUAAUACCGCAUACGUCCUACGGGAGAAAGCAGGGGACCUUCGGGCCUUGCGCUAUCAGAUGAGCCUAGGUCGGAUUAGCUAGUAGGUGAGGUAAUGGCUCACCUAGGCGACGAUCCGUAACUGGUCUGAGAGGAUGAUCAGUCACACUGGAACUGAGACACGGUCCGGACUCCUACGGGAGGCAGCAGUGGGGAAUAUUGGACAAUGGGCGAAAGCCUGAUCCAGCCAUGCCGCGUGUGUGAAGAAGGUCUUCGGAUUGUAAAGCACUUUAAGUUGGGAGGAAGGGCAGUAAGUUAAUACCUUGCUGUUUUGACGUUACCAACAGAAUAAGCACCGGCUAACUUCGUGCCAGCCGCCGCCGCAGUAA
rnacentral:rRNA from 1 species